rnacentral:rRNA from 1 species
UACGGAGGGGGCUAGCGUUGUUCGGAAUUACUGGGCGUAAAGGGCGCGUAGGCGGGAUGGCAAGUCGGUCGUGAAAUCCCUCGGCUCAACUGAGGUACGUCGAUCGAUACUGCCGUUCUUGAGGGUUGCAGAGGAGACUGGAAUUCCCGGUGUAGCGGUGAAAUGUGUAGAGAUCGGGAGGAACACCGGUGGCGAAGGCGGGUCUCUGGGCAACUCCUGACGCUGAGGCGCGAAAGCGUGGGGAGCAAACGGG